AACGAACGCUGGCGGCAUGCCUAACACAUGCAAGUCGAACGAGACCUUCGGGUCUAGUGGCGCACGGGUGCGUAACGCGUGGGAACCUGCCCUUAGGUUCGGAAUAACUCCCCGAAAGGGGUGCUAAUACCGGAUAAUGUCUUCGGACCAAAGAUUUAUCGCCUUUGGAUGGGCCCGCGUUGGAUUAGCUAGUUGGUAGGGUAAAAGCCUACCAAGGCGACGAUCCAUAGCUGGUCUGAGAGGAUGAUCAGCCACACUGGGACUGAGACACGGCCCAGACUCCUACGGGAAGCAGCAGUGGGGAAUAUUGGACAAUGGGCGAAAGCCUGAUCCAGCAAUGCCGCGUGAGUGAUGAAGGCCUUAGGGUUGUAAAGCUCUUUUACCCGGGAUGAUAGUGACAGUACCGGGAGAAUAAGCUCCGGCUAACUCCGUG
rnacentral:rRNA from 1 species